UCAGGUGAUGAUGAAAAUGACUUGAAACGUGUUCAUCCCACCUCCUUGGUCAUUAAAUUUCAUUUACAUUAAAUUGAUGAAAAUGACUUGAAACGUAUUCAUCCCACCUCCUAAAUCGCCGCUCUCGCUAUCGCCAUAUCUCCACCACUGCGUACAUCCGGUUCACCGUUUAUCUUCUCAGGUUCACCAAAUCGGAUUCGUAAAGUCACCUUAUCCACUGAUACCUCCGACACCAUCUCUCAGCUCUGAUCUACACCGCCGGUUUACCUGUCCCAGCAUCGACUUCUCCUUCUUCAUAUUUGCGACUCUCUCGUCUACCGUACAUCUCCUUUAACCCAUUCAACUUAUCUCCCAUCCGGUAAGAAAUCGGUUCCUUGAAGCAUAACCCUCUAUUUUUCGAUAAUGAUGUUAUUGGUUUUAUUUGUUUCACAUUGUUAAGGAUGACCUUAAGUUGCUCGGUGUGGUGUCGAAGUUUUUGGUGUUCAUGCGAUUUUGUCGGCAAAGUUGUGGGUAUCGUUUCGUGCGGUUUCUUAUGGUAACAAUGAUAUCUAAAUCAAGUUCAAGAGAGAAUUACGGUGCGAACUGUCUAGAAGGGAUGCUUUAGUGGGCUUAAAGCUGGAUAAGCCCAGGGAUGUUUUCUUAUAUUUCACAAUAGCUUUCUACGCUUUUGUCCCAAACUUGAACCCUUUUGUGGGAAUUACUAUAUUCAAUUCCACUUGUAAUUUUAUUCAAAUGAAUAUUGAUCCACUUUAAACUCAUGAAAGUAUAUAAAUUAGGUUAUAUGUUCACGGCUUCUGCAAUAUAGUCGUACCUCUUAAAAUCAAAUAUAUUUCCUUGUGUUAGAUACAAUAUUUAUACAUGUUUCUUAUCCGUGAACGUACGAUACACAUUCAUCAAAUAAGGCUUGAAUAAUAGUACUCUAACACAAUGUUACUUCUCUUUGAUGCAUCAAAUAAGGCUUGAAUAAUAGUACUCUAACACAAUGUUACUUCUCUUUGAUGCAGUGUAAGCGAAGUCGCGAUAGAAGACUAGAAAUGAAUGUGUGGCAUGAUUUACCCAAUGUAUACACGGUGACUGGGUUUAUAGAAACGAUGGAUGAAACAAAGAACUCUACAUGAAAGAAAGGUGGUUGAAGUUCUUAACCCUCUAGCUCGUGAAUUCAAGUCAGUUGACACGUGAAAUAUAAUCUAGCUUGACUACAAGACGAGUUAGCAGAUGCACAUAGACAGGUAAAUAAAUAACUACAAGCAACACCGGACUAGCCACGAAAAACUUCGAACUUAAAUUUCUUUGUGAAUAUAAUGUAAGAUGAUGAAUUACCGCAGGUUCAUAUAUUUGAAGCAAUAGUUUCCACUGCUUUAGAUAAACUAGCUUACAUGGAAGAAGAGCUUGAAUAAUGUUUUAGGUCCAGUUCAGUCAUACCAUCCUAAUUUAAAGAAUUUCUGGUAUCCUGUUGCAUUCUCUAAUGGCUUAAAGGAUGAUACCAUGGUAAGUCAGUAGAAGUGAUUUUAUUAAAAAAUAGAUUUUAGAAUAUUUUUUAUGACUAACUUAAACUUAUAAAAUCAACCUAAUUUGAAUGUGAAUUCUCAUAUGAGAACACAUGGAAAAGCUCACAGUGGGGAAAGUAUAACCACUUUGUUUGCUAUGAUUCUAAGUGGCAUGUAAGCAUCAUUGGAGCACUACAAUUUAUUUGUGUUCAAAGUAAGACCAAUCCAAAGAAUGCCAGUACUUUUGUAUUUGUAUGUGGUAUCAUAGUUUAUUUAAAUUUAGUAUGUGGUUGAUUUUUCAUUAAUUGACUAUUUCAUUCAGUUUUUGUCAAAUAGAUGUAAAGCAUCUAAAUGUUGAUAGUGAAAAUCCAGUUACGGUGAUAUCAGAAAUUGUUAUUACAAUUGGAGCCAGUAGCGAACAGGGAGUUGGUGUAUUGGUCCCUCUGUGUCAAAGGAAGCUGAGUAGCUUGUGUUUGUGAUUGCAAGUUUCGGAGGAUGCUUCAUAUAAUCCUUUGCCCUUGAUUCCCGUCAAGGAAUCUGCAACUAUUAACGAAUCUGGUGAACCUGAGAUACAACACUAUGAUCUACCAGAAACGGCAUUGUUGAAGGUUCUUGUGAGAAUAACUACUUUAAGUUUUGCUUGAACAAUUGUAUCUUGAUAUGGAAUAUGUUUAUGGAAACUUAGCUCAUUUUUAAUGUUAUAGAUUAUAACUAGCAUAACUAGCAUACACUUGCAUCAGGUUUGAUUUAGGAUCUUCUGGAGUUAUGUUUUUAAUAUACCAGAAAUAUCAAUAAACCUCAAAGAUGGUUGGCAUGCCUUUGCAUGCACCGAGAGAGAAUUGCGUUUGGAGGCUUGAUUAGAAGAGUGAGUGGAACAUGGCUAGCUGACUGGUUUCAGUGGUUAUAUUGACACUCAUUUGAUGUAUUUUUAUUGACCAUUUGAUCAUAUUUUGUAAUGCAAUGAAAGACAAGUUCUGAUAUCUCUUUUUUAUGACUUUUAAUUCAUAAAAUUCCACCAGACAUUAAUGAGUUCAUAUUAUUGAUUUUAAUACAUAA